CGCGCACGCGCAGACUGCAACUCGGCAAAGUCUGCGCAGGCGACGAGGUAUCCCGGAGAAGGCGAAGGAGGAACCGCGGACCAGCCCCUUUCAAGGAGCCAGGGCAAAAUGAUUGGUUCUCCUGCCAGACGCGCCGCCCUUUAACCCCGCCUCUAGUCCGCGGUCCUUCCCGAGAGGCUCAAGAGGAUUGGUUUUCUCACCAGAGGUUCUGCCCUCGCUCCGCCCCGCCCCGCCCCGCCCCGCUCUGGAGUUGGAGUCUGGGUCUCUUUCGACUGCUGGCUGCUACAGCCAUUUGGACCUGUCUAGUUCAGUUAGGCCUCCUGUCCCAAGUAUGGCUUGCAGUCUUUGACACCACUAGGAGACCGGAAGCUUGAGGCCGAACAGACCCCUCUUUCCCCUAACCGUCUCUUACCAUCACCACCACUGGUAGGAUGAUCCUGCGUGGUGCUAAUAACAAGGCCUCGAUGACUUCCAGGCAAAAGCUGACUUCCUCCAAGAUCCCAUCUUCAAAAUGGCAAGGUGUAAAGUACAUCAGUUUUGGAAUGCAUUUAACUCAGACAUACCGACAUCCUGAGGACGCCCACCGUCAUUCAAUGAAAGACAGAAUGCUGAACUAAGGCUAAGUGUGAUGCAAGCCUAGCUAAUGCCCUGUGGUCCCAGAAAACCAACCUUUGGAGUUACAGUUGGCAUUGGUAACAACUUGUCUGCAUAAUCUGUUCAUUUUUUUCUAACAGACAGCAUUUGCAAUUUACCAAUCUCUUGUAAGCUGACAUAUAAAUUCGCAAGGUGUGGGCUUUGAUCAUUAAAAAGUAAUAUUCCCCUCCU